rnacentral:rRNA from 1 species
GAUGAACGCUAGCUACAGGCUUAACACAUGCAAGUCGAGGGGCAGCAUCAUCAAAGCUUGCUUUGAUGGAUGGCGACCGGCGCACGGGUGAGUAACACGUAUCCAACCUGCCGACAACACUGGGAUAGCCUUUCGAAAGAAAGAUUAAUACCGGAUGGCAUAGUUUUCCCGCAUGGGAUAAUUAUUAAAGAAUUUCGGUCAUCGAUGGGGAUGCGUUCCAUUAGGUUGUUGGCGGGGUAACGGCCCACCUAGCCGACGAUGGAUAGGGGUUCUGAGAGGAAGGUCCCCCACCAUUGGAACUGAGGACACGGUCCAAACUCCUACGGGAGGCAGCAGUGAGGAAUAUUGGUCAAUGGGCGAGAGCCUGAACCAGCCAAGUAGCGUGAAGGAUGAAGGUCCUACGGAUUGUAAACUUCUUUUAUACGGGAAUAAAGUAUCCUACGUGUAGGAUUUUGUAUGUACCGUAUGAAUAAGCAUCGGCUAACUCCGUG